ACUGCUCAGUAACACGUAGCUAACCUACUUAAGUCAAGGAUACCCUCUGGGAAACUGAGGCUAAUACUGAUAGGAGAUAUACCCUGGAAAGAUUUAUCUCUGAAACUCGAGCUUAAGGAUGGGGCUGCGGCGGAUUAGGUUGUUGGCGGGGUAAUAGCCCACCAAGCCGAAGAUCCGUAAGGGCUCUUAGCGGAGAGGCCCUGAGAGGAAAUCUGAGACACUAUUUCCAGCCCCACGGGGUGCAGCAGUUAGGAAUAUUUUGCAAUGCGCGUAAGCGCGACAAAUUGAACCAGAGUGAUUUUCAAAUUUGAAAGUCUUUUAUGAAAUGUAAAAAGUUUCACGAAUAAGGACUGGGUAAGACUAGUGCCAGCCGCCGCGGUAAUACUAGCGGUCCAAGUCGCAGCCAUUUUUAUUGGGUCUAAAACAUCCGUAGCUUGUUUGAUAAGUUUCUUGUGAAAUUUCGUAUCUCAAAUACGAAGCGUGCAGGAAAUACUGUCAAGCUAGAGACUGGAAGACGUGAGAAGUACGUUCUAAGUAAUGGUAAAAUAUGUUAAUCUAGAACGGACUCACAAUAGCGAAGGCAUCUCACGAGGACAGUUCUGACAGUAAGGGAUGAAGGCUAGGGGCGCAAAACGGAUUAGAUACCCGUGUAGUCCUAGCAGUAAACUCUGCACACUAAACAUUAGUACCUCUUCGAGAGGUAUUAGUGCUGAAGGGAAGCCGAAGAGUGUGCUACCUGGGAAGUAUAGUCGCAAGGCCGAAACUUAAAGGAAUUGGCGGGGGAG
rnacentral:rRNA from 1 species